CCCUUGGCCAGCAAGAACAACCCAGUCGUACAAGCUUUGGUAAUGCAGUUAUCUCUACGUGUCAGCUUACCUGAAUCGUUAGUGUUUCAUCUGCCUGACAGCUAUUGGUGUAUGGCGCACAAAUGCAGGUAAAAAUAGUCACUGAGUGCCAGGGUGUUUGGUGAACCAGGUUUAUUAAAGGGACACUGUUGUCACCAGAACAACUUCAGUUUAAUGCAGUUGUUCAGAAAAAAAGGCAAUGUUUACAUUGCCUACUAGGGACACCUCCAGUGGUCACUCCUCAGAUGGCCACUGGAGGUUCUUCCUGGGGCAUGCUCUUCAUGGAGUCACUGAACUCUCCCCAUUGAGAUGCAUUGGUUCAAACUUUUUGAUUAAUAAAACCGUUUUCAUGUAUAGAUCAUACCCCUGCAGACUAACCAGUCUGUUUUAUUUUCUUCCAUUUAGGAGUUAAAUCAUGUUGUUUAUUCAGUCCUAGCCACACCUCCUCUGCAUGUGAUCUACACAGAUUCCCUACACAUUUCCUGUCAAGAGAGAUCUACUGUUUAAACUUCCUUUAUCACACAGUCUGUUUGAUUUAGAACCUCCUGUGUGUGAUUAAAGUUCCAUUAACCGUGCAGGAGAUAAAAACUUCUAAAGUAAACACCCUGUUAGAUCUAAAUUGAAAAUGAAACAAUUUUUUCAAGCAGGUUAUAUGAGUCACAGGCAGGGAAGGAGUGACUAGGGUUGAAUAAACAAAAACAUAAGUGAUUUAACUCUGAAUUGCAGAGAAAUGAGCAGUGAGACUGCAGGGCCAUGGUCUAUACACCAAAACUGCUUCAUUAGGCUAAAAUAUUUUGAUGCUUAGAGUGUCCCUUUAAACCAUUUAAAUACAUAUGAUUGCAUGAGCCAAACUGGUGCACUCAAUUAAUUUUGUGUUUUCUUGUCUUAUUUCCAUAAAGGAGCGGUCCCUAAAUCACAUGUAGACGGGCACCUUUAACAUGUCCCAUUUGACAUAAGGAGACAAUCACAAUUUGGACUUCAGAUAUCUUCAAAGGAGACAAUAAUGGUUGCUUGCAAGAUGCCUGAAUGCAAGGAGCACAAUUGGCAACCUUUGAAUAACUUUUGCAAAAGAGAUCUGAAGUUUAUCUGUGGAAAUUGUGCUACCAGUGGAGACCACAAAAAAUUUAGAAUUUUCCACCAUUGAUGAAGCUUACAUCCAGGAGAAAUGCUCCUUUCAGGCACUGCUGAAGGGAUUGGAUAAUCGCCCACCUUAGAU